CCCCGCACAAGCAGCGAGGCAUGUGGUUUAAUUUCGAUGCUACACGAAAAACCUUAACCUGGGCUUGACAUGUAUGAGAAAGCUGGAAGAAACUCUGGCCCUCUUGUGGAGCAAUCCACGAGACCCAUACACAGGUGCUGCAUGGUUGUCGUCAGCUCGUGUCGUGAGAUGUACGGUUAAGUCCGUGAACGAGCGCAACCCCUGCCCUUAGUUGCUAAUAUGCGAAAGCAUAUGCACUCUAAGGGGACCGCCAGCGGAAAGCUGGAGGAAGGUGGGGAUGACGUCAAAUCCUCAUGGCCUUUAUGUCCAGGGCUACACACAUGCGACAAUGGUCGAGACAACGCGUUGCAAACCAGUAAUGGUAAGCUAAUCGCAUAAAAUCGACCUCAGUACGGAUUGAGGGUUGCAAUUCACCCUCAUGAAGCUGGAGUUGCUAGUAACCGCAGGUCAGCUAUACUGCGAUGAAUACGUUCCCGGGGCUU
rnacentral:rRNA from 1 species